rnacentral:lncRNA from 1 species
ACUAGAAAGCAUUCAGACACUGUUGCCAGGGGAGGUAGAAUCUGCCUUCCCAUAGCUAUCCCGCCAACACCACCACCCCCAGGAGCGGGAAGGGAUGGAAUAAAGGCCUACUAUCUUUGGCCCAGCAGCAGAAAUCCGACAGCGAGAAGCUUGGGUCUCCUGAAGGAGUGGCCUCUGGACAAGUCGGGAACCGGAAGCAUCAGAGAAGAGAAGGGAACCGGAAGAUCCAGAGCAGAGACAUGUGCAGGCAGAGGCUUCUGCUGUGUCCCUGGAAGACUCACAUGGACAGUCUGGAAGAAAGCCAACAUCGGGACCCCUGACACACAGCCCAAAGUCAGAAAGGUGCAACCUUCAGACAAGCAACUGGCAGGCGACUGGUCAUGCCAAGGCUUCAACAGCAGGACUCCAGCUUGGGGAGCAGAGGAAGGAAGGCCCUUCUGGCUACAGUGGUGCAAUUUUUCUUUUCAACCUUUUGGCUACAACCAAGCGAGCGGAAGAUCAUUUGAAACCUCCGAGUGUUUUGUCACUCUCUGGUACAGGCCCACGAUGUACCGUGUAAUGACAGCACCAAUUGUCAGCGGCUUUGAGGGAAUGCUUCCCUCUAUCUCGAAUGUCACUUUUCGAAGUGACUGGUGGCUAUCAACAUAGCAAACUCUGUGCCCAAGGAACUGACAAACCGCGCAAGAGAAUCUGAUGAGUCGCUGCCUCUUUCCUACAAUCUGACUUUUAUGAUCUCUAAUCCACUUUUUGAUCCAGAAAACAGCUGCUUCCUCCUUUUAGUGUGUCAGUGCUUAAUCGGAUUCUUCAGCCGCAGUAGAAAGAAAACAGUAACGUGGUUGGAAGAGAAUGAGCUAAAAGUAGAAACAUCCGUCUAGCAGUGCAGCUCAAAGUAUAGAUUUGGGGGGACAGGCAGACUUGGGAGCCAGUCCCAACACUGGUCUCACCAGAUGUGACAUGGGGGAAAGCGAUCAAACACUACCGUGCCUCAGUUCCCUCCUCCUUUUGUAUUUUUUUUAAAUUUUUUUUAAGGUUUAUUCAUUUUUUAGAGACAGAGACAGACUAUGAGCGGGGGAGGGGCAGAGAGAGGGAGACACGGAAUCCAAAGCAGGCUCCAGGUUCCGAGCUGUCAGCACAGGGCCCGACGCGGGGCUCGAACCCACAAACUAGGACAUCAUGACCUGAGCCGAAAUGGGACACUUAACCGACCGAGCCACUCAGGCCCCUCUACGCUGGCAUUUUCUAGGUUAUACAGUGCUCUACUCUUCUUCCUUUAAAUCACAUGUUCUUAAAAGCUUAAAAAGAAAUAAAGAUCAUUUUGUGAGGGCUAAAUUAAAUGGU